CCUCUGCCCGCGCCUCCUCUCACGCACUGCCUCCGCACUGCUCGUUGACGACGAUGUGAGUCCUCUCCUCACCGGAUUUCUUUUCAAACCUCACCGUCAACAGAGACAAGGAGAUGAGCCCUAACUUGUUUUCCAUGAAUUUCUUCUCAGAUCUCAUCGUCAAUAGAGACAAGGAGACGAGGAGGACGAUUCGGGGAAGGGAAGACAUAGCUACAUCGAUGGUGGAGGUCAUAGGUCAUGUCGGAAGAGGUGUUGUGGCCGAAUCCAAGGUAUCUUCAAUCACUGGUGGCCACAGCUAGGGGGCGAUCGAUGUCGGGAGAGGUGCAUUUCGACGCUGGGCUUAGAGUUCCUUUGUUCUCUCUCACUGAAGUUCUUUUUUCUUGUCAGAUUGAAGAUCAUUAUGGGGAGCUCUUGUAGUACCGUUGAUAAAAGGAGAGGUCUUUGUACUUUGUGAAUCAUCUUCUUUGUGCUUGUAGUGCAUCAGAUCACCCUGUGUGAAUCAUCACAGAUAGAUGCCAAGGACCUUAGAUACCCAGAUGUUGAUGAUUAUGAGCACUACCAAUAGUAUAUGAAGUUUGCGGAUAUAAUGCUUGUGUCAUAUUGUUUCGAUUCUAAACACGUGUCAAUGUAUGUGUGGAGAGAGCCAUUCGUGAUGUGCUGAUGUAUGAAUACCAUAGAUUAACUUGGCAAUGUUAGUUGGUACCUGAAUUCAACUUUCGCGUGAAUUCAUUUGUGAUGUGCUGAUAUUUGUGGUCGUAUGGAUGAUAAAACUGUAAUUUUAGCUAUGUCUUUUCUCAAACUGAAAGAAGUACUUCUGAACAGUGCAUA